rnacentral:lncRNA from 1 species
CCGUCCAUCGAAACAUACGGACAUACUUACGUAGGUCAUUUCCUUUGAAUGAUGUCAGCUAAGUUUCUUACUUCCCGAUUUUCUUAUUUGUUUAGAUUUUAUAAAUAUGUAUUUGAAUAUUUAGUUUAUUACAUUAUAAUCCAUAUAUUAUAUUUUAUAAAUAUAAUUUUUAUUUGAAAUUGAUUUUCAAUUAAUGAAACUCAAUACUAUUUUCAUUUUUAGGUACCUGGUGAUGGUGACUGUGUGAAGCCAAUCAGGCUGAGCCACAGUGCUUCAUCAAUCGAUGAUGCGCAAAAAACUGGGAACGGCCUUUACUGGAGCGAGUCUAUGCCAAAUUUGGCUAAUCCUGGACACCUAACCGAUGAGAUAAACAUGACAACGUCCUCAGAUGAAUCAGAAACUGACUCUGAGAGGAGUGGCUGGGUUUCCAGUCACCAUUCCUCGAUUGCAUCCUCGAGUGAACACAGUCAGCAAGACGCGGACCCUCGGGUACUAAAUACUGAUACUCUUCGUAGAAAACUUGAAAAACUUGCGCGGAAAAAUCAAGAGAAAACGCCAGAAACAACUCCUGAGGAUGAGCACGUACUUUUCUCAGAAUCAUUGGAAAAACGAGUUCGGCAUCAAAAGAUCAACAAACUCUUGAGCUUCCCGAACAUAUUCAACAAAAAGAUGGAGAGAGAAAUCCAGCUGACAAACAACUUCACCUCUUACAAGGAGUGCAAAAACAACCUCCAAAGCGUUAUAGGAGUCUGUCUUCAGAAAACAUCUACAAUAUUCGCUGUCCAUAUUUUGAAAAAAUGGAGCUCCCGCGAAAAAUUGGUAAGCAUUUAAAUGGUCAAACGCAUGAGCGAGGAAAACUUUGCAAGCAUUCUUAAAAGACUUAUAUACAGUAGAGUCUCGAUUAUCCGCGAUAAUUGGGACCGGAGAUACCGCGGAUAAUUGAAAAUCGUGGAUAAUCCAAAUCUACGCAAGACUGCCGGAAAAAGCCAUCGGAAAGACUGUAUUUUAAAGGAAUCAGUAAAAACACUUACCGCAUGCAUUAGAAAAGAAUAUUACUAGAAUCAAUAAACGUCAUAUGGUAUUUAAACAAAUUAAACUUUAUUUCUUGAAGAAUUUCUUGAUGGAAGAUUGAGUAAUGGAUUUGAACCUUUUUUCGGGGCACCAUACGACUUGCGUCCCGCGGUCAAAAAAGGGACGACUUGCGUCCCGUGUGUCCAAAAAUCUCGAAAACGACUUGCGUCCCGCGCUCAAAUCCGAAUUUGAGCUGCCACCAUGAUUGGCAACGCCGCGUACCUGAGUCAAAAUACUAUUAAGUCAAAUUGGAAAAUAUUCAAUAAAAUUACCUGAGAUAAGAUGAGGAAACAGGCGUCAAAAUGUCUUCAUACUCAUUAGCAGUGCACGUCAUGAAUUAAAAAUUUCGCUUGUUUUACGAGCACGUCAAAAAUUGAAAUUGUACCAUUAAAAACGCCGGGGCACUACGGCGGUAAAAAUUUAAAGGACGCUUCGCGCACAUAUUUUAGUCGAUCUCGCUCCCUAAAUAAAUUUGCAUAAGAGCAUUUAAAUCUGCCUCUUUUUCAGUUUGAUUUUUCUUUUUUCUUCGAUAAGUAUUAUUACCUUUUAUUUUUAUAUAAUUUUCAGACUGAAUUUUUACUAAGACUAAAACAAAAUCAAAAAUAUUAGGAUGAAGAGCGUAAAACUGACCGUUAAAAUGUCCAUUGAAUGCCUCGCAGGCAUUAUUCGAAAAUCAGGCGAAAUUCUAUGACCAGGUGUUAUAGCACGAAUUUGUUGUGGAGCUGCGGUAGCGACGUUGCCACAUGAUAUGAAUUACAAUCAAAUCAAUCCACCACGGGACGCAAGUCGUUUUCGAGAUUUUUGGACACGGGACGCAAGUCGUUCCUUUUUUGACCGCGGGACGCAAGUCGUAUGGUGCCUUUUUGGGCUGCCGUUAUCUAUAUUAUACAGCUACAAGCAAAAUCUUGGAAGCACUAUUCUGACGAACUACAGGA